AGGAAAUAGGACUGUAACGAUAUACCAGUUUGACGGUUUAUCACGGUUUGAACGUGCACGGUUAUCAUACCGUAAACAUUUGCAUAUCAACGGUUUUUAAAAAAAUCUCAAUUUAUU